UACGUAGGGUCCGAGCGUUGUCCGGAAUUACUGGGCGUAAAGAGCUCGUAGGUGGUUUGUCGCGUUGUUCGUGAAAACUCACAGCUCAACUGUGGGCGUGCGGGCGAUACGGGCAGACUAGAGUCAGGUAGGGGAGAACGGAAUUCCUGGUGUAGCGGUGAAAUGCGCAGAUAUCAGGAGGAACACCGGUGGCGAAGGCGGUUCUCUGGGCCUGUACUGACGCUGAGGAACGAAAGCGUGGGGAGCGAACAGG
rnacentral:rRNA from 1 species